rnacentral:rRNA from 1 species
UCCGGUGGCCAUAGCAGGAAGGCCACACCUGUUCCCAUUCCGAACACAGUAGUUAAGCUUCCUGCGCCGAUGGUACUGGCGAAAGCUGGGAGAGUAGGUUACUGCCGGAA